CAUGGCUCCGGGAGGAGAGCAGGUCCCGCCUUCACGGGUUGGGGACUGAGCUGAGGGUGCGGGGCUCUGCGUUGGGGGGCUGACCGCCCUCCCGGGAGGGAGAGACAAGGGGACCCAGAUUCAGGGCGUCUGUGUGUGCUUUGGGCCUCGCUGCCCCGGCUGGCUCGUCGGCAAAGCCACAGGUCCCGCCCUGCCCCAGGGAGUGUGGGUCCUGCUCCGGGGCUGUCCAGGAGCCACGUUGCUACUAAAGGCAAGGGCGCUGGAGCUAAGAUAGGCUACGCCUCUCUGAGCCCAGCUUCCGCCUCAGCGAAAUGGGGACGAGAAUGCUUCACCCACAGCAUCGCUGGGAACAUACAGGGAUACCGCCCUUCAUGCCAGUCGUCCAGCUCCUCUCAGGUGUCUGAAGGAGGCCGGUUGUGAGGAUCACUGUCUUGAUGGCCAGUGAAGCUCCUCCUCCAGGUUUUCAUGGGCAGCAGUCCUCAGGAGAUCCCAAUACCUCAUAUCCAUGGUGGGAUACAACACCUGGCUAAAUGUGCUGUAUCCCCUGACACUCGCCUCUAGUGGUAGAGCAGAGAAGGUGUGGACUCUGAGCCCCAGAAAUAGGAGCCAAUAGAGAAGACCUAAGUGUGAUGUCAAGUCUCCUAGACAGGUUCCUGGAGCAGUAGUGAAGACAAAGUGUCCCAUCAUUGCAACAGUUUAGCUAAGUCUGUACAGCUCUACAUGCCAGUGGCUGAGCUCAUAAAGUGUCUGAAGAAGUGGAUUCUGAGGAUAUGUGUCCUGGUGGCAGCUGAAGCUCCUCCUCCAGGUUCAAGGGCAGCAGUCUUCAGGAGACACCAGGAGGUCAUGUCUUUGGUGGGAUGUGAUGCCUGACUCAAGUGAGUUCAUAGAUCUGAGAAAAGCAUGUUGUGGAAUAGCUCCUGUGAGGUUCACAAACUAGCCUGAAAGUCAAUAAUCUUCUUUGAUUUCAUCAGGAGAGAUUUAGCAGGUUCAAUGUCAUUCUGUCAGCAGCUACAUUCUUUCUGUAGCCCUUGAGGCCCAUUUUAGAGAUGCUUUCUUUGUCUGGAAUCAAUAAAUUGUCUAUCCUGAGUAAGGAUCUUCAUGUUUAACAUAUGUGUGCAUGAAUUUACAUAUGUUUUUCUGACUAUAAAUAAUAAUCAGCAAUUUCCAUAUAUCUCUCAGAUGGGUGUUGAAAUAUGCUGUUGUUUUGAAGGUAUUUCUAGCAAUUUGAAAAUUUAAUAUGGAUUCAUCCAUGGUCACAAUGUUUUUAUUCAUUGUAUAGUGAAGUUUUCCAGAAGUCAGGAAUUUUCCAGGUGUUAGUUAAAAUGUCAGCAACAACAAUUUUUGUGUUUUCUAAAGUAUCGAUUACCAUAAAAAUUUUCCUGUUACAAUGAUACCCAGCCAUGUCCUCUAAAAUAACCACAUAGGUUUAAAUGUAAUUAUUAUUGUUUUUUCAGGAUGUAACACUUUCAGUUAUGUACUAUGUGGCCUUACCUGCUCCUCCUAUUGCUCUGUCCCCAGGCAAAAACAGUUCUCCUGUCACUAUGGAUUAUUUCUCAUGUCCUAGAUAUUUAUUUAAAUUGAAUCUUAGAGGUUUUAUUCCUUUUUUUUUGGUCUGGCUUUGUUCAUUUAUGACACUUAUUUUUAGAUUUGCCCAUUUUGUUGCAUAUAUCAGUAGUUCAUGCUUUUAUUACUAAGUAGUGUCCUUGUAUUUGGAUAUCUCACAAUUAUUUUACCCAUUUACUUGUUGAUGGUUGAGUUUUUCCCAAUUUGGGACUCUUAAAUAAAGCUGCUGUAAACAAUUUUUAAAUUGUCUUUGCGUAGACAAAGACUUUCUUCCUCAAGGAUAAAUACUAGGAUUGCAAUAGCUGGUUCAUGUGAUAGCUGUGAGAUUAACUCUCAAAUAUCAGAUUUUCAAAAGUGGUAGCACAGUUUUUCAUUUCCACCAGCAGUUUAUGAGAGUUCCAUCCCUCACAGCUUUGCAAAGACUUGUAGCGUUCACUCUUUUUAGUUUUAGCCAUUCUCACUGGGGUGUGGUAGUAUCUCAUUGUAGUUUUCAUCUACAUUUCCCUAAUGACUAAUGAUGUUGAGCAUCUUUUCAUAUAUUUAUUUGAUAUUUGAAUAUCUUUUUUGUGGAGUGCCUAUUCAAAACUUUUGCCCAUUUAUUUAUUAGGGUGUUUGUUCCCUUCUUUAUGACUUUGGUGAGAUUUUCUAUAUUCGGCAUACAAAUCCUUUAUAAUAUGUGAGAUUUUCAAACAUUCUUUCUCAGUUUGGCUAUCUUUUCAUUCUCUCAACAGUGUCUUUUGAAGAACAGAAGUUUCUAAUUUAGACAAAGUCAAAUUUAUCAAUUUGUUCACACAUGGAUUGCGGUUUUGGUGUCUCUUCUAAGAAAUCUUUACCUUGAAUCCAGUGUCACAGGGGCUUUCUACAGUGUUUUUGGUAGAAUUUUAUGGUUUUGACUUUUAUGGUUAGCUUUAUGAGGCAUUUUGAGUUGAAUUUUGUGUAUGGCACUAUAAAUGAACCAUGGCUUAUAUUUAUGCAUAUGGAUUUCUUCAAGUACCAUUUACUGAAAAGACUAUCUUUUUCCCACUGAAUUGCCUUUUAGCCUUGUUGAAAAUGAGUUGUCCCUAUAUGUGUGGGUGUAUGUAUAGACUCUUCUAUUUUGUUUCUUUGAUACACAUUUCUACCUUGACUCCAAUACCAUACUGUUUUGAUUAUUAUAUAUUUAUAAUGACUCUUCAAAUUGCAUAGUAAUUAUCUUCCAACCCUGUUCUUUUCAAAGUUGUCUUUCACAGUCUAGGUCUUUUCCCUUUCCACAUGGAAUUUGUAAUCAUCUUGUCAAUUUCUUUUUUUUUAAAUGACUGCUAAGGUUUUUAUUGGAAUUUCAUUGAAUCUAUAGAUCAGUUUGAGGAGAAUAGAUAUCUGAACAACACUGAGUCUUCCAAACCGUGAAAACAAUGUGCCCCUCUAUUUAUUUAGGCCUUCUUUAAUUUCUCUGAGCAAUAUGUUAUAGUGUUCAAUGUAGAGUCAUUGCACAUUCAUGGACAGAUUAUUCCCAACUAUCUCAUACAUCUUGUUGCUAUUGUAAAUGGCAGGAUUUUAAAUUAAAUUUUCUAUUUAUUUUUCACUGAACUGUGAGCAGCCAAAUGUUCAAGAGGAAUCUUUUUGGUUGAAAGUACAGGCUCUCUAGGAGGAAAAUGUACUUGAUACAUAAUAUUCACUUGUCUAUAUUUUCUGGUCAGCUUUUAUCUGUUAUUGGCAAUCUACUGAAACUAGGGAGAAAAAUGCCUCAGAGACAAUUCUACAGGUCAUCUCCAGAAAAAUCCAUCACUAAAAUAGUUUAGUAGCUUUGAAAUUUGUGUGUGUAGUCAAAAAUGAAUUGGAUUUUCUCCUUUACACUCCAGUGAAUCCACUUGAAUGAAUUCCUGGGAUCUUAGGUAAUGAGAGAGAGUGGGGAGUUGGGGAGAAGGAGAAGGGAGAGAAGGGCAUGGAGAGAGAGUGAAAGAGAGAGCAUAUAUGUAUGUGGGCAUGUAUAUAUGUAUGCAUUUAUGUGUAUAUUGCUGAAGCUGCCAGGAAUCUUUAUUGUGAAGAAUACCUGAGGUUAAUUACUGUGUGUUAUGUCAGUCCUGCUCAAUUCAUAGCACAUGUUAGAACCUAAUCAGGGUAGAUAUUAUCUUUUCUUCCUCAGGUUUACUUAGCAAACAUGGUUACUGUAGUGACUCUGUAGCUUCAGUGGGAUUUGAUAGUAUCAAUAUCCAUUUUGAUUCUUCCCUGAGUCACUUGUUAACAUGGUUUCUGUCAUUUUUUCCCAAUUCUGUCAUUCCUUCUAGAAUUAUUAGUUGGUAUUUGAGUGUAGGGUUCAGCUUUCCAUUUUCUUCUAUCAUUAAUUAACUAAUUAAUUAAUGUUUUCCACUUAUGUAAGUAUACCUCAUAGAUUAUUAUUUUUGCUCAAAAGGUUUGCUAUUAUUAUGUAUUUUAAUGGUUAAAUUGUCCCGUACUUGGCCAGUGUUAGCCCUUCCACUUGGCCUCUGUUUCCAUUUGUCAUCUUCCUAUACAUCUUUGAGUAUGUAUGUUCUUCUCUGAGCCUAUCUUCUAGCUGUUCAAAGGGUGUAAUAAUGCCCACCUCAGAGCAUUGCUUUGAGUGUUUGAAGAUAAAAAAUAACCUACAUUUGCAUCUAACAAAAGUAGGGCAUCUAAAGGCCCUCAGCAAUGCUAGAUCCCCAUUCCAACUUUGCCCCUUCAUGCGGUCAAUGUGAUGCCUCUGGCAUUAGCAUCACAGGCUGACUACCAGAGAUAAUAUGUGGCUGUGUAAUAGAAGCAGGGAUGAUCCCACAUGUCCAUGAUGUGAGCUUCAGGGUCACUGCUGUGUGGGGAGGGGGCUGCGUGAUGGCACUGGGGAAGAGGCCCCAUGUCCCUGCAAAGCUGUGGGGACAGGCAAGGACAUCCUCAUCCCGUCCCCUGCAUUCCUGUGCUUCCUCUUUCUCCCAUGAGCCUCUCUGUUCCACAAGCUGUCUCAUCCCCUGACUCUCCCUUCUAGGGGGGCAGCAGAGGAGCUGUGGACUCUGAGCCCCAGAAACAGGAGCUGAUAGAGAAGAAUCAAGUGAUGUUGAGUCUGCUGGAGAGGUUCCUGGAGCAGGAGUUAAGAGAUAGAGUCCCAUCCUUGGGAAAGUUAUAUAAGUCACUACAUUUUCCUUCAGCAUCUGUAUACAGUAGGAGAGCAAUACCAAUGUGCCCAACCUCCCAGAAAUAUUGUGGACUUUCAGUGUGAUCUCAUGUGGGAAAGUGAUCUGUGGUCAUAGGUGGGAGGGAAGGACCAAUGCCCUUUCCAGUAAUUAUAUGACCAGAGACAGCCCAGGUACCAUAGAACUCUGCAUCGUAGGUAUCAAAUUAAUGCUACAUAAAUGUCAGCUGUUUAGGCUGUGAUUUUUCCAGGUGCAGCCCAUGGGCCACCUCAUCAUAAUCACCAAGGAGUGCUUGUUGGAACUGCAGAUUGCUGUGCUCACUCUUGUUUUGCUAUACCCAAAACAGAGAGAUGGGGUAGGAAGUAUCUCUGUUUUGAAUCAUUUAGUUCAGAGUUGGUUCUGGCUUAUCACAGUUUGAAAAACACUGCUGUGGAUUUGCUGUAAGGUGUUCUCAUAAUUUUGAAUCCUUUGAUGUCUGCUUUUCUUUGUAUCUGCUCCUGUGUGUCAAACAGUUCACAAUUCUUUCAUUUAGGUAAUACUUUUAUGGUGACUUACAUGUGAGGCACUGAACUAGGUACUGGGAACCCAGUACAGAGAAUAAGACAGGCAGGGUCCCUGGAGUUUUCAUUCUAGUUUGGGAAAACCGGCAGUAAGCAGUUAAGUCAUAAGCAGGGUAAUGCACCUGGGGUGCUGUGGAUAAAGUGAAGGUUCCUGUGGCCAGGAUUCUCACCUGCCCCUGGUCGGCUAGUUCACUACACAGGUGUGGGCAAUAGGUCAUUAUUGAGUCUAUAUAAAGAGCUCCAUCGAGCGCUCUGGGUGACAUGGUAGCAGCCUGCAAGAGAGCAGAGGUGAGACUGGAGUGGUGGCAGUGCCAAGGACAGACACUGAGAUGGUUGCGGGGGCAGAGGUGAAGGAGGAUUACAGACCUGCAGACUGUUGGAUGCAGAUGUAAUUCUGGUGCUCGACCUAUCUCCGGGAGAAAAAGCCAGGUGAUAAAAACCCUUUCACCCCAGAAAUAUUCCAUUGUCACUCCUCGUUGGCACUGAAUCCAUAGUGAACUUGCCUGGGGCUGAAACCUAUUGGCAAGACAGAUGCUUUGGGAAAAAGACACAUAAAUAAAAUAGCAAAUGACAGGGACAGGAUUAUUAUAGACGGGGUUGUCAGUGAAGUUCUUUUUAGGAAGUGACAUUUGAGCUGAGUCCUCAAUGUCAAGAGGAAACUAGGCCUGGGCAGGCUUUUUUGUUAGUGGCCCUUAAAUGUGCAUGUCACCAGUUGUUCCAGAAGCAGACAAUGAGCUCAAGUGGCUGGAACCUGGCAGACAAAGUGCAAAUAAUAGGAGAGGAUGUCAAAAGGGCACACAGGAGUGACAUUCCAGUGACUGUAAAGAGAACUAAAACUAUUCACAUUCACACAUAGUUUGUAAGAGGCAGACCUAGGGUUUGGCCCUAGUCUAUCUCCAGAGGCCCCACUGCUAACCAAUACACUUAGGAAGAAUUAAAAGAUGUGUUGAACUACAUCAUCCCAUGGUAGUUGAUGCUAGGCCAGGGCCCUAUGUCUCUCAGUGAAGACUGUGCUUCAGUAAGCAUUUUUCCAUAUACAGAGAGUAUUUAAGAAAAACAAAAAGGAAAUAAUCACAAAAACAAAAAAGUAAUAAUUAUCACAGUUACUAUGAAUUAGAUUACAUCACUGUUAAUAUAAUUCCUGUGGCUUCAAAUUUGAAUUCUUUUCAUUUUUAAGAACUCAGAUUGCUCUCACACCAAUUAAAAUGGCCACUAUCCAAAAGACAAGAAAUAACAAUUGUUGGCAAGGAUGUGGAGAAAUGGGAGCCCUCCUACACUGUUGGUGGGAAUGUCAAUUGGUGCAUCAACUAUGGAAAGCAGUGUGGAGGUUCCUCAAAAAACUAAAAAAUAGAAACACUAUUCGACCCAGUAAUUCCACUCCUAGGAAUUUACCCUUAAAAAAAUCCCUGAUUCAAAAAGAUAUAUAUGUAGCCCUAUGUUUAUUGCUGUAUUAUUUUCAAUAACGAAGAAAUGGAUGCAACAUAAGUGUUCCCCUCAAUAGAUGACUAGAUAAAGAAGAUGUGGUAAAUAUACACAAUGGAAUAUUAUUCAGCCAUAAAAAGAAAAGAAAUUCUUCCAUUUGCAAUAACAUAGAUGGAUCUAGAGGGUAUUAUGCUCAGUGAAAUAACCCAGGCAGAGAAAGACAAAUACCAAAUGAUUUCACUUAUUUGUGGAAUAUAAAAAUAAAGCAAAAAAAAAAGGCACAAAACAGCAGUGGACUCAGAGACACUGAGAAGUAUCUAGUGGUUACCAAU